GCGACCCCAGUCAGGCGGACAGUCUCCCAGCC
rnacentral:rRNA from 1 species